GACGAACGCUGGCGGCGUGCUUAACACAUGCAAGUCGAACGGAAAGGCCCUGCUUUUGUGGGGUGCUCGAGUGGCGAACGGGUGAGUAACACGUGAGUAACCUGCCCUUGACUUUGGGAUAACUUCAGGAAACUGGGGCUAAUACCGGAUAGGAGCUCCUGCUGCAUGGUGGGGGUUGGAAAGUUUCGGCGGUUGGGGAUGGACUCGCGGCUUAUCAGCUUGUUGGUGGGGUAGUGGCUUACCAAGGCUUUGACGGGUAGCCGGCCUGAGAGGGUGACCGGACACAGUAGGGCAUGGAUACGACGACGACCCCUAGGUGUACCAGACUCGGGGACACAUGCAUAAUGGGAGGAGGCCGCGUGUGGAAACGUAGCCUUGGGAAUGUCGGCAGCAAGAUUGUAAACCGCAUUCGCACGAAACGAAGCGCGAAUGGCGGUAAGGGUAUAAUAAGCCGCGUCUAACUACUUG
rnacentral:rRNA from 1 species